GCAGAUAUGGUGUAAUUGGUAGCCACGAUAGACUUAGAAUCUAUUGCAGAGAUGUGUUAGGGUUCGAAUCCCUAUAUCUGCACCA
rnacentral:tRNA from 1 species